CUCUAGUCUCUAACCAGGUUGGGCAAUAAUGUGACCUCUAGUCUCUGACCAGGUUGGGCAAUAAUGUGACCUCUAGUCUUUGACCAGGUUGGGCAAUAAUGUGACCUCUAGUCUCUGACCAGGUUGGGCAAUAUUGUUACCUUUAAUCUCUGACAAGGUGGGGCAAUAAUGUGACCUCUAGUCUCUGACCAGGUUGGGCAAUAAUGUGACCUCUAGUCUCUGACCAGGUUGGGCAAUAAUGUGACCUCUAAUCUCUGACCAGGUUCGGCAAUAAUGUAACCUCUAGUCUUUGACCAGGUUGGGAAAUAAUGUGACCUCUAGUCUCUGACCAGGUUGGGCAAUAUUGCUACCUUUAAUCUCUGACCAGGUGGGGCAAUAAUGUGACCUCUAGUCUCUGACCAGGUUGGGCAAUAAUGUGACCUCUAGUCUCUGACCAGGUUGGGCAAUAAUGUGACCUCUAGUCUCUGACCAGGUUGGGCAAUAAUGUGACCUCUAGUCUCUGACCAGGUUGGGCAAUAAUGUGACCUCUAAUCUCUGACCAGGUUGGGCAAUAAUGUGACCUCUAGUCUCUUACCAGGUUGGGCAAUAAUGUGACCUCUAGUCUCUUACCAGGUUGGGCAAUAAUGUGACCUCUAGUCUCUGACCAGGUUGGGCAAUAAUGUGACCUCUAGUCUCUGACCAGGUUGGGCAAUAAUGUGACCUCUAGUCUUUGACCAGGUUGGGC